rnacentral:rRNA from 1 species
GUCAGCCGCCGCGGUAAUACCGGCGGCUCGAGUGGUGGCCACUUUAUUGGGCUUAAAGCGUCGUAGCUGGGUUAUUAAGUCCCUUGGGAAAUCCGACAGCUUAACUGUCGGGCGUCUAAGAGAUACUGGUAAUCUUGGAACCGGGAGAGGUGAGGGGUACUUCGGGGGUAGGAGUGAAAUCCUGUAAUCCUCGAGGGACCACCUGUGGCGAAGGCGCCUCACCAGAACGGCUUCGACAGUGAGGGACGAAAGCUGGGGGAGCAAACCGGAUUAGAUACCCGGGUAGUCCCAGCCGUAAACGAUGUGCGUUAGGUGUAUCGGUGACCACGAGUCACCGAGGUGCCGAAGGGAAACCGUGAAACGUACCGCCUGGGAAGUACGGUCGCAAGGCUGAAACUUAAAGGAAUUGGCGGGGGAGCACCACAACAGGUGGAGCCUGCGGUUUUAAAUUGGACUCAACGCCGGAAAUCUCACCGGAUAAGACAGCAGAAUGAUUGCCGGGCUGAAGACUCUGCAUGACUAGCUGAGUAGAGGUGCAUGG